GACGAACGCUGGCGGCGUGCUUAACACAUGCAAGUCGAACGGAAAGGCCCUGCUUUUGUGGGGUGCUCGAGUGGCGAACGGGUGAGUAACACGUGAGUAACCUGCCCUUGACUUUGGGAUAACUUCAGGAAACUGGGGCUAAUACCGGAUAGGAGCUCCUGCUGCAUGGUGGGGGUUGGAAAGUUUCGGCGGUUGGGGAUGGACUCGCGGCUUAUCAGCUUGUUGGUGGGGUAGUGGCUUACCAAGGCUUUGACGGGUAGCCGGCCUGAGAGGGUGACCGGCCCCAUUGGGCCUGGGAUACGGCCCAGCUUCCACCGGGAGGAAGGAGUGGGGAAUAUUGCACAAUGGGCGGAAGCCUGAUGCAGCAACGCCGCGUGGGGGAUGACGGCCUUCGGGUGGUAAACCGCUUUCGCCUGUGACGAAGCGUGAGUGAGGGUAAUGGGUAAAGAAGAACGGGCUAACUACGU
rnacentral:rRNA from 1 species